rnacentral:rRNA from 1 species
AGAGCGAACGCUGGCGGCAGGCCUAAUACAUGCAAGUCGAACGGAUCCUUCGGGAUUAGUGGCGGACGGGUGAGUAACACGUGGGAACGUACCCUUUGGUUCGGAACAACUCAGGGAAACUUGAGCUAAUACCGAAUGUGCCCUUCGGGGAAAAGAUUUAUCGCCAUUGGAGCGGCCCGCGUCUGAUUAGCUAGUUGGUAGGGUAAAGGCCUACCAAGGCUACGAUCAGUAGCUGGUCUGAGAGGAUGAUCAGCCACACUGGGACUGAGACACGGCCCAGACUCCUACGGGAGGCAGCAGUAGGGAAUCUUGCGCAAUGGGCGAAAGCCUGACGCAGCCAUGCCGCGUGAAUGAUGAAGGUCUUAGGAUUGUAAAAUUCUUUCAGCGGGGACGAUAAGUGACGGUACCCGCAGAAGAACGCCCGGCUAACUUCGCGCCAGCAGCCGC